GUGAAGAACGCAGCGAAAUGCGAUAAGUAAUGUGAAUUGCAGAAUUCAGUGAAUCAUCGAAUCUUUGAACGCACAUUGCGCCCUCCAGUAUGCUGGCGGGCAUGCCUGUUCGAGCGUCAUUACAACCCUCAGGCCCCCGGGCCUGGCGUUGGGGAUCGGCGGAAGCCCCCUGCGGGCACAACGCCGUCCCCCAAAUACAGUGGCGGUCCCGCCGCAGCUUCCAUUGCGUAGUAGCUAACACCUCGCGACUGGAGAGCGGCGCGGCCACGCCGUAAAACACCCAACUUCUGAAUGUUGACCUCGAAUCAGGUAGGAAUACCCGCUGAACUUAAGCAUAUCAAUAAGCGGAGGA
rnacentral:misc_RNA from 1 species